GAUGAACACUGGCGGCGUGCCUAAUACAUGCAAGUCGAGCGAACGGACGAGAAGCUUGCUUUUCUGAUGUUAGCGGCGGACGGGUGAGUAACACGUGGAUAACCUACCUAUAAGACUGGGAUAACUUCGGGAAACCGGAGCUAAUACCGGAUAAUAUUUUGAACCGCAUGGUUCGAAAGUGAAAGACGGUCUUGCUGUCACUUAUAGAUGGAUCCGCGCUGCAUUAGCUAGUUGGUAAGGUAACGGCUUACCAAGGCAACGAUGCAUAGCCGACCUGAGAGGGUGAUCGGCCACACUGGAACUGAGACACGGUCCAGACUCCUACGGGAGGCAGCAGUAGGGAAUCUUCCGCAAUGGGCGAAAGCCUGACGGAGCAACGCCGCGUGAGUGAUGAAGGUCUUCGGAUCGUAAAACUCUGUUAUUAGGGAAGAACAUAUGUGUAAGUAACUGUGCACAUCUUGACGGUACCUAAUCAGAAAGCCACGGCUAACUACGUG
rnacentral:rRNA from 1 species